rnacentral:rRNA from 1 species
AUUGAACGCUGGCGGCAGGCCUAACACAUGCAAGUCGAGCGGCAGCACAAGGGAGUUUACUCCUGAGGUGGCGAGCGGCGGACGGGUGAGUAAUGCCUAGGGAUCUGCCCAGUCGAGGGGGAUAACAGUUGGAAACGACUGCUAAUACCGCAUACGCCCUACGGGGGAAAGGAGGGGACCUUCGGGCCUUCCGCGAUUGGAUGAACCUAGGUGGGAUUAGCUAGUUGGUGAGGUAAUGGCUCACCAAGGCGACGAUCCCUAGCUGUUCUGAGAGGAUGAUCAGCCACACUGGGACUGAGACACGGCCCAGACUCCUACGGGAGGCAGCAGUGGGGAAUAUUGCACAAUGGGGGAAACCCUGAUGCAGCCAUGCCGCGUGUGUGAAGAAGGCCUUCGGGUUGUAAAGCACUUUCAGUAGGGAGGAAAGGGUGUAACUUAAUACGUUAUAUCUGUGACGUUACCUACAGAAGAAGGACCGGCUAACUCCGUGCCAGCAGCCGCGGUAAUACGGAGGGUCCGAGCGUUAAUCGGAAUUACUGGGCGUAAAGCGUGCGCAGGCGGUUUGUUAAGCGAGAUGUGAAAGCCCUGGGCUCAACCUAGGAAUAGCAUUUCGAACUGGCGAACUAGAGUCUUGUAGAGGGGGGUAGAAUUCCAGGUGUAGCGGUGAAAUGCGUAGAGAUCUGGAGGAAUACCGGUGGCGAAGGCGGCCCCCUGGACAAAAGACUGACGCUCAUGCACGAAAGCGUGGGGGAGCAAAACAGG